AAACCGUGUUGUGGGCAUAAACUGAUAAGAUCUUUAAACCGCACCCAACAUUGAAAGAAUGUUUCAUCUUCCUUAUGAGUGAAGUUCAUGAUUGACUUUUUAAGGGU